CAGCAGCCGCGGUAAAACGAAGGGUGCAAGCGUUAAUCGGAAUUACUGGGCGUAAAGCGUGCGUAGGCGGUGAGUUAAGUCUGCUGUGAAAUCCCCGGGCUCAACCUGGGAAUGGCAGUGGAUACUGGCUCGCUAGAGUGUGUCAGAGGAUGGUGGAAUUCCCGGUGUAGCGGUGAAAUGCGUAGAGAUCGGCAGGAACAUCAGUGGCGAAGGCGGCCAUCUGGGACAACACUGACGCUGAGGCUCGAAAGCGUGGGUAGCGAACAGGAUUAGAUACCCCUGUAGUCCCUGUCUCUUAUAC
rnacentral:rRNA from 1 species